ensembl:lncRNA
UACCUGUUUGGUGAAAGACUCUCGGAGUGUCAUUUUAUGCCACCUGAGGAAGUCAGAAAGAACUCUUUAAAGACUGGGAUAUUCCAUUUAAGCAGCCAUCAUAUCCAUCAGUGAAGCAUAUAAUCAGAAUCGGCACUUACACAAAAGCUGCAGAUGGAGGGGCGAUUUAAAAGAAAGAAAGAUUACUCAGGAAGAACUAGCUUGAAAAGGAAUUCAUUAUGAUUUUCCUCCUUUGAUUUUACAGAAAAUGGAAAGUAUUUCAAAAACAAAUCUUCGGAUGUCUACAAAAGGCCAGGUUUUAUGUAAGAAGAAGAAGAAGUUUUAGGCACUCCUGACUCUCCUGAGAAGACUGCGGAUACCCAGGGCCUCACACCAGUUUGCACAUCAACAUUUUUGGAGAGAGGAAAAUCUGAAGUGGCUGUAAUGAAUAAUGAUGAUGAAGAUAAUGAAAUAGUUUUCAAAAAGCCCAUAUCCUGUGUAAAAGAAAAAAUACAAGAGACUCAAACACCUAUACAUUCACAGAAAAAAAGAUGAAGAAAAAGCAUUCAGUGAUUUUCAAUGUAUAAUAUCUGCAGCAUAUCAUGAGUGAUGAGAUCUGUAUACACUGAUGUAUAUAGAUCAGUGUAUACAGAUACACUGACCUUUACCUGGCAGAAAACAAUAAUGGGGCCACCGGAGGCCAGCCGAACACACAGAACUCAAGAAGCCUUCUGGAGUCAACGUAUCCGCAGAAAGCCGAGCAGCUAAUGUCAGAUGAGAAAUGCUUUAAGCAUUCUCUUUCCCCGAGCACCAUUGUCUUUGAAAAUGCCCUUGCAAUCAGGAUAUUUCCGACCAUGCAACAUAGGCUUUCGCAUCCUGAGUCUGAAAGUUUCUCCGAACCCAACCCAAAGGCUGGUUUUAGCUUCCAGUCAGAAGACUCUGUUCCUGGCUUACGAUCCUCAUGACUCAGGAAUUAAAGGUGUCAGACGGGGAACAGUGGGCCUUAUCUCAACUUUGGUGCCUCUUUGCUAAAUUUAUUCCUGUUAGUUUUUUUUUUUUUUUUUUUUCUGAGGUGGAGUCUCGCUCUGUCGCCCAGGAUCCAGUGCAGUGGCGCGAUCUCCGCUCACUGUAACCUCCGCCUCCUGGGUUUGAUUCUCCUCCCUCAGCCUCCCAAGUAGCUGGUACUAUAGGCGCCCACCACCACGCGCAGCUAAUUUUUGUAGUUUUAGUAGAGACAGGGUUUCACCACUUUGGCCAGGCUGGUCAGAAACUCCUGACCUCAGGUGAUCCGCCCGCCUCAGCCUCCAAAAGCUCUGGGAUUACAGGUGUGAGCCACUGCGCUUCGCCCUAUUCCUGUUAUUUUGUUCUGAGUGCUCAUGUCCUUUGUUUCUUUGAAUUUACGUAUAUUGAUUUAUUGAAUUGCAAGUAGACAAGCCCCAUCAAGCAGGGUUCUUAUAUUUCCAAGAUCAUUUCGUUACUCCAUUCAACCCCAAAUUAGCAUGCCAUUUAUCCCCUUGUUUCUGAACACUCUUCACUUAAUAGUCUUGGAAACAUCCAUCCAUUGCAAAACGGACUCAAACUUUUCUCACUUCCGUUUUCAGUUGAUUUUUUACUAUCCAAGUA